rnacentral:lncRNA from 1 species
UCCGUCCCCCACUGGCGGCCUCCUGGUCGUUGACGACGAUUUAUACAUUUGUUUGCGACAACCUCAAAUCCGUCACUUCCCUUCAUCCCCCUUCCCCUUCUCCUUCCUAUGCUUCAAUUAGGCCACCUGAGGAAAUAGCGACACUCCAAGGUCUGUGAAGCCAUCCUAAAGCCUUUAAUGGAGGACGUAGAUCUUUCGAUCUCAGCCACAGGCGAGGCCGCCGGAAACCACCACUCGCACGAGCCCGUGAGCCGCCAUGCCAGCUGGUCCCGCUUUAGUUGUCGCAUAUUCGCGUCCACCAGACGUGUGUAUACGUAUAGGCUCGGGUAGGUUCUGAGCCACGAAACGCCAUGCAAGGACACACGUAUUGUACUCAUUCCUAAUAUGCACAUGGAGCCCACAAUAUCCUUGACGCAUUGGGGCCAGCACACCAACCUGUUCUUCAUUUUUUUUUUUUUUUUUUUUUUUUGGGAGGGGGGGGUAGAUAAAAGCACACCAACCUGUUCUUCCAGUUAUCUUUGACGCAUUAAAAAGGCAACAAGUGUCGUACAUUAGAUAGAUGGACCGACCAUAAACAAUCUGGAUAGGAGAGAGUCCGAAAGUUCUCGUUACAACAUCAAAAAUCGUAUUGCUUGUAAUUCAGAACAUAUCAGAAAGUCCAGCCAGCCAAAUAUAUUGAGAAAGAUAUUAAAGAAUAAAUGCAAUCCCGCAUAUUUAAAACGAUAGUGUUUAAAAACUACCGAUAUGAGCUCAAGUGCAUGCAAAUUUUAGGCUCCCCUUGGCCCUUACCGAACAUGAUACCAACCGAGACUCGAUUGAGCAUCUGCAAAGGAAUCACGUCUCAAAUCCUCUAAACAGAGGACGGUCUCUGAAAUACUUGCGGACUGCAUCCCACAAGGGAUGACGCAAAGUCAAUUUGUCAGACGUAGAAACUAAAAGAGAAGCAUACAAAUGUGUCAUCGCAGUUUAUUGUUAACAUGCCAUGUUGAUAUUACAAAAACGUAUAUUACUGUCAGUCAUUCUAUUCCAUUGAGAAGACCAAUACACAAUAGGAUAUUAGAUGCAAUUAUUCUAUUUUAAGUUGUAUCAGCGAUCAAUUUGCUUUUUGUUUU